CCAAUAGCGUAUAUUAAAGUUGUUGCAGUUAAAAAGCUCGUAGUUGAAUUUCGGGAUCAAUAUGUUGGUCGUGCCUUGGUACGUACUGGCAUUAUUGGUUUCUACCUUCUGAAGAACCUCGAUGUCAUUAAUUUGGUGUCUUGGGGAAUCAGGACUGUUACUUUGAAAAAAUUAGAGUGUUUAAAGCAGGCUCGCGCUUGAAUACAUUAGCAUGGAAUAAUGAAAUAGGACGUUUGAUUCUAUUUUGUUGGUUUCUAGGAUUGACGUAAUGAUUAAUAGGGAUAGUUGGGGGCAUUAGUAUUCAAUUGUCAGAGGUGAAAUUCUUGGAUUUAUUGAAGACUAACUACUGCGAAAGCAUUUGCCAAGGAUGUUUUCAUUAAUCAAGAACGAAAGUUAGGGGAUCGAAGACGAUCAGAUACCGUCGUAGUCUUAACCAUAAACUAUGCCGACUAGGGAUCGGAUGAUGUUAAUUUUUUAAUGACUCAUUCGGCGCCUUACG
rnacentral:rRNA from 1 species